AAUCUGAUUUGAGAAUUAUUUUCUCAAAGUCAAAACUCUCCUUUCACACGAUGAAAAAUGUCUCAGAUAUCUAAUCUAUAUUUACACAUAUAUACACAUAUAUAUAUGUGUUCACUGUGUCCCCGUGAGUCUGCUCCAACAAAGACACAUCUGUAUGAAGGCAGACAAAGCACUGCCCCCCAGUGGUGCAGCAGCCAAAGAGGGGCCUUGGACUUGGUUCCACCUCAGCUGUAGAAACUGACUCCUGGCUCCUGACAAAGACACUCACAGCAGUUUUUCUUUUUUUUUUUUUUUUUUUUUCUUCUUUUUAAACAGUUUCCACCACAGUCUGAGGAAUGUUUAUCAGUGGUGAGCUCGCUGCCAUGGAAGCACAUGGUGUGGUUUGACUGCUCCGGGUGCACAGGAGGUGAACUUCAGGGAACGACCUGUGACGCUAACAGAUGCUAACAGACGCUAACAGAGGCUAACAGAGGCUAACAGACACUAACAGAGGCUAACAGAGGCUAACAGAGGCUAACAGAGGCUGGUGAAAGGUUGAACUGGCGCUGAGGAGGCAGGAACCACGUGAGCGGCUGAAGGAGUGGAGGUUGUUGACGGUGAUCCGGUUACAGGGAGACGGGAUCAAUCGGUACCGAAGGCGUGGGUGUAAAAGGGACCGCAUUCCCAGUGGGGACAGUUAAGUCCCGCACAAGGGGAAGCAAUCAGACCCAAACCUCUAAAUGAUGUGUCGUCUUCCUCCCUCCCCAUCCGGCUGGAGCCUGCGAGUGGCGGUUGGUUUGUCCCAUCUUCAUCUCCGCCGCCACACUCUGGGCUGGGGUUCCCCACUGAGAACCCACACGGCUGCGCUGGAAGUGCUGGGAUAAUGAGACGCUGUGAGGACAACAAACACGGCAUCUGCCCUCGCUCUUUAGUCACAUCGCAAGUAUGUAUGUGAAACUCCCGACCUCAGAGUUUAGACAGGGCACCGUUGAGAGGUAAAUUACAGACGUGUACGACACAGUGCAGUGGAGUAGUGUAACUCAUGUACACACGUAAAUAACAUGGAAGCAGAAGAAGUCAACGGGGACUAUAGAUAGAUCGGACUAACCUAAUAUGGUUAGGGAUGUCCCAUAAUAUGGACGAUAUUAUGGGACAUCCCUAACCAUAUGUUGAUCCGACUGAUAUCGCGAUAUUAGCAUAAUUGUGCAAUACUGUAUCUGUAAGAA